CCUACGGGAGGCAGCAGUGAGGAAUAUUGGUCAAUGGACGGAAGUCUGAACCAGCCAUGCCGCGUGCAGGAAGACGGCUCUAUGAGUUGUAAACUGCUUUUGUACAAGGGUAAACCUGCAUACGUGUAUUAAGAUGCAAGUACUGUACGAAUAAGGAUCGGCUAACUCCGUGCCAGCAGCCGCGGUAAUACGGAGGAUCCAAGCGUUAUCCGGAUUUAGUGGGUUUAAAGGGUGCGUAGGCGGAUUGAUAAGUUAGAGGUGAAAUGUCCGAGCUUAACUCGGGUACUGCCUCUAAUACUGGUGAUCUAGAGAGUAGAUGCGGUAGGCGGAAUGUAUGGUGUAGCGGUGAAAUGCUUAGAGAUCAUACAGAACACCGAUUGCGAAGGCAGCUUACCAAUCUAUAUCUGACGUUGAGGCACGAAAGCGUGGGGAGCAAACAGGAUUAGAUACCCCGGUAGUC
rnacentral:rRNA from 1 species